UACGAAGGGGGCUAGCGUUGCUCGGAAUCACUGGGCGUAAAGCGCACGUAGGCGGCUUCUUAAGUCAGGGGUGAAAUCCUGGAGCUCAACUCCAGAACUGCCUUUGAUACUGAAGAUCUUGAGUUCGGGAGAGGUGAGUGGAACUGCGAGUGUAGAGGUGAAAUUCGUAGAUAUUCGCAAGAACACCCGUGGCUAAGGCGGCUCUCUAGUACGGUACUGACGCUGAGACGCGAAAGCGUGGGGAGCGAACAGG
rnacentral:rRNA from 1 species